rnacentral:tRNA from 1 species
CAUUAGAAAGCUUAAAGUAAGCUAAAGCCUCUUAAGCUUCACAAUGUCAAGUAACGUCUGACUCUAAUG